GUUCAUGGGAGCACCCUCGGCGGUGGCGCCAGAUGCGUCGCCGGCUUCCUCCGACGGUUCGCCUUCCAGCCGCUACGGGAGAACAUGCUCCUCGGCCCAUGCCCAUCCUCUGCAGUACUUUCAACAUGUCCUGACAACCUGGACAACCUGCGGAGGCUUGCGGAGCAAUUCCAAAAGCACGCCUGUGGUGCUUCUGGUGCUGAGGAUGGUGCGAGCACAGGUGCUACUCAGGAUGAUGAUGAUGAUGAUGUGCCCGAGCUUGUCCCUGGAGAGACAUUUGAAAAGGCCGCAAAUGAGAAAAAGGAGUCGUCAUGAUUUUGCUGCUUGUCUGCUGUUGUGAAGGCUUUUUAAGAACUCUGACCUACCUUAUUUAUGCCCAUGGUCUGGAUCAUUCAAGCCGACAACUUGGAUGCUAGCCUCCCAUUGUUCUGUUGUUGAGCACAUUACAUACUAGAUAAUAUACUAGAGAACUUCUAUGAUGUUCUGUCGACCUUCUAAAAUGGGACAUAUUUUUCUUUUGCAAAUAACGCUUUCUCACAAGAAAACAGAAGGGUUUCCAAUGAUCCAGUGCCUCCUAGCUCCCAACAUGGUGCAUCUACUUACUCUUCAAAACAAAUUCCUAGUUCUAACAAUUUAUCACAUGGAAUCCUGGAGGUGCAAGUGUUUCUAGACCUUACUCUCAACAUGAUGCAUCAGUCCCAGGUACAGAAUGAUUGUAUUGUUUGAUAUCUGCCAGUUUUAAUUGCUAUCCUAUAUCUUCUUCCUUAAGUUUGUUUGACUAUUUCUGGGGAAAAUGUGUGGCAUUGAUCCCUUCUUAUUAUCUAUUACCGAAGAAGGUGAAUCUAGAAUAGAUGCCGGGUGGGUGAUUUUUCUCGGUUGGAGAAUUGGAUAUGUGCUAUAACCGCCCAGGCAGUGUUGCAAAAAGAAGUAUCCCACGAAUAUUCUGGUAGCCGUGUAAGCUCUCUUUGGUGUUUACAUUUUUUUUAGAUUACCAUGUAAAAUUGUUCUGUUUAUUUGUCUUCUCUUGCAAUUUCAUACACUUGGUUUUCCAUUGACACAUUUAUUGUGCAUUUGGAACUUUUAUGUGAUGACUACAGCUUUCAAGAGUGCUUGCAAAUGCUUGCUGGAUCAUUCAAGAAGACAACUUGGAUGCUAGCCUCUCCUGUUUUCAGGUUUUAAAAACUUUUGGUUUUACCAUAUUGUUCUGUUGUUGAGCACAUUACAUACUAGAUAAUACUGGAGCAUUUAUAUGAUGUUUUGUAGACCUUCUAAAUGGGGCAUAAUUUUCUUUUUAAGAACUGAUUUACAGUUUGAUAGCUAACUUUCUCCAGACUAUUAUUUUUGAGGCUUCUGUUCCUUACAGUUUAAAGGCCAUUCUAUUUUUUGUCUACGUUUCUUACUACCUUACUGCUUUGAUGUGCCAGGUAAUCAGGUAGUGAUGUUUUGGUGUUGCUUCUAUGACCAUAUGAAAAGGCAGCCUUGCUUGAAUGCCUGGAAAUCAUUCGAAUUGUUAUGAGGACAUCGUGAAUCUAUAAUUUGAACUGUUCCUUUCCAUACAACAAAUUUGUAUAUGAAUUGUAUAAAUUUUGACUUCUUUGCAGUACUGAUUAUUUGCAUCUGUGUUUAUUUACUUUAUUCACCUGAGUAGUGAGUGUUCCAUUCUGCUGGUCAAUCACACUUUGGCACCCAACUACAAACUGCACUUGUAUCACCAUAAAUUCUAUGAAUUAUGAAAAUUAUAGCAAUAAUCUUUGCUCACUAUUAACAGUUUAACUGCUUUAGGGGACAAACUCAUAUUAAUGUUAAAGGAAUGUUAAUGCUACAAAUCAGUAUAUGUUUCGCACUUAUGCAUCAAGAUAUUUUAUCACUGUUUUUCCUAGUUUUUUAUUAGACAGGAGGCUGUGAGGGGGAGGACGCACGAUGAAACUCCUGUUUUAUAUUAGUAGAGAUUAUUUUAGUGGCAGAUCAUGUUAGGAAAGCAUAAAGAUGCUAAGUAUGCAAUUUAUCCAAUUGCUUUCCAGUAAGCACUUUGGAGAGGAGCAGCACUGCGGCAGCUACAACUCGUGCAUAUUGAGUUGUUUAGUAGCAAUGUGAGGAUCAGGCUUAGCUCUUUUACUCUAUGGAUGUCUAAUUGAAAUGAAUCAGGUUGUACCCUUUUAUUUUUGUACACUACAAAUCUGAAGUUAAUAUACUAUUAUGAGCAUCCAAUUCAUAUA